UUCGGAGGGUGCAAACGUUGCUCGGAAUCAUUGGGCGUAAAGCGCACGUAGGCGGCUCGUUAAGUCGGAUGUGAAAGCCCUGGGCUCAACCCAGGAAGUGCAUACGAAACUGGCGAGCUUGAGUAUGGAAGAGGGUCGCGGAAUUCCCGGUGUAGAGGUGAAAUUCGUAGAUAUCGGGAGGAACACCAGUGGCGAAGGCGGCCCUCUGGGCCGGGCCUGACGCUGAGACGCGAGGGCGUGGGGAGCGAACGGG
rnacentral:rRNA from 1 species